AUGUCGCGGUGAAUACGUUCCCGGGUCUUGUACACACCGCCCGUCACACCAUGGGAGUCAGCAACGCCCGAAGUCAGUGACCUAACCGAAAGGGAGGAGCUGCCGAAGGCGGGGCCGGUAACUGGGGUGAAGUCGUAACAAGGUACC
rnacentral:rRNA from 1 species